rnacentral:lncRNA from 1 species
GCUGUGCUUCUGUGCGCUGAGAAUAACAGUAUUUUCUUAAACAACUGACUUGGUCAUCAGAAAUAUUUCUUAAAAAAGAAAAGAAAAAAGGUGCCACUUUAGUUUGGAGCAACUUUUUAAGUUUAAAUUUAUUGGUUUUAUCUUUUCAUUCUGAAAAUCAUUCCAUUAAAAGUACUAGUUUUGCUGGGCAUGGAAAUGCACGCCUUUAGUCCCACACUCAAGAGACAGAGGCAGGUAGAGCUCUGAGUUCAGGGCCAGACUGGUUUACAGAGUGAGUUCCAGGCCAGUCAAGUCUACACAGAGAAACCUUGUCUCAAAAAACCAAAAAUAAAAAAAUAGAGAAUGCAGCCUCCAGUGUAGUUACAAGUAUACAAAAGAUGCUGACAUUUUUAAAGAUAGAAUUUUCCAAAUUACUUUAUUAAAUUGUGAUGAUUUGAUAGUCUUGACUCCUUGUUCUGAUAAAGAGUUCAUAUAAAACUAUGUUGACCAUUAAAACUUCUUCCUUGUGAUGCAAAUUUUUUUUAUGUCAGUGAAAGGACAUAACACAUUUGACAGUUUCUGUAUUUUCAUAUCUGAGCACAGAGUUGUAUCUAUGACUGUGCUAUAUAGUUAUCAAACUGGAAAUCAGUACUGUAUACUGAUAUUUAAUAGAUUAAUAAAUAGUUGUGUUCUGCAUUGGAAUAAAGUUUUAUACAUACAUACACACUGAGGAAAUACUGACAACUAACUUAGAGAUCAUAAGGAAGUAAGUCAUUGAGCAUUUUAGAAAAGGACAUCAGGAGUUUUAUUAAGCGUGUACAGACAAGUUUUUAUCCUAACAGUCUUCCUUGUGAGUGAAAUACAGCAGCUUGCUAAAUCUUAAAUGUUCAUGCUAACGGGAUUUUUGUACUGUCUCUUUAGCUAUAGCUUUAAAAUUGUCUACAAAUCCACAAAGAAAGUUACCUUGUAGUCGUCUCAAGCCUUUAAGGAGAAUGUUCUGUGUGACAACCAACCUCAAAUGUGAAUGUCUUGAUUUUAUGUAGCUACAGAAUUUCAUGUUCCCAAAACUAAACACUGGAAUGACACUGAUGUGUCACUUAGCACAAGCAGUUGGUGUUGAUGUCUUGUCAGUGCUGUUUGUGUCUGAUUUCUCUUCUGGAUAAUCUUAUUGGAACAAAUGUAGAGUGUUUGUGAUGUCUUUUUAUGUUCAGUUUUGCAUGGCUUUUGUAGUUGGCUGGCAAGUGUGUCUAUUAGAAAUACUUUCAAAAUAAUUUUCCUUAGGAAUAAGCACAUUCUUGGGUUGAGGGAAGGAAUGCUAUGCUAUACGGUCUGAAGUCUGAACACUCCCAGUUUACAGCAGGAAAAGUUAACGCCUUGUCAGCACUGACGGUCAGGUCACUUAGCACGUAAGGGAUUAAAUCUGUCCAGGUUUUCACUGGUUUUCCCCUCAGGAAUGAAAGGUAGUCUAUGGUCAGUAGAGCUUUGUGAUCUGCGUGCCGACCAAAAAUACUGCCUGGUGAGACUUGGUGAAUACCUGUAACCCUAUAGGAAGAUCUAAAGUUUAAGGCUGGUCUAAGUUACAUCAGACUAUCUCAAAAUAAAUAAAUAAAUAUCUUUUUUUAAUGAGAAAGAAAAGCAUGGAUGAAAGGAUGAAUAUUGGAUUUAAGUAAAGUUUUAAGUUAGUGUCAGUGGGGCUAUGUGCUAUCAAGACUCUCACACAGACCUUUACAGCAGAGCCUAUACCCAGGCACUUGCCAUGCCACCAUGUAGUUUUUGACUGAGAUUCUCCAGGUCAGCGAGAUCCUAUACUUUACUUGUAAGUCAUGAUAGGAUAGUGUACAUCCUGAGCUUUUGUAAAUCCUAAUGGUUAUGAAUGUACUAAUGCUCAACAUAGUCCUAAACAGUGAAAAGUUAGCCUCUGCUUUAAAAAAAAGCCUUGUUUUACCUGUGAUUGUAUGCCAUUAGGGCCAAUUCAAUUUCCUAUCCCUCUGUGGUUCUGACUGGAAACUGCUGUGCCAGGAAGCCCUAGCCACUUACAGAAAAAUCGUGGUUGGCUGGGAACACAGCUCAGUCGGUAAAGUAUCGCCUAGUAUGCACAAAACCCUGGCUGUGGCAGAAAGCCAGCAUGGGUGUUCAUGGGUGUAAUCCCAGCACUUGGAAAGUGGAAGCAGACAGAUCUGCAGCUCAAGGUUACCAUCAGCUACAGGAGACCCUGUCUCAAAAACAAAGUAGGUAACUCCAGCUAAUGACAUGUCCCCGGGAAAUCCAAACAAGGAAGUACCUUCAUUUUUUUCAUACUUAAGAAUAAAUAGGUAGUACUUUGACUUGUCCACAUUAGCUUUCUGUGAAAAUCUAGUGUAUGGAUUAUUUUCCUUCUCUCAUGGCCUAAGGAGUAAAUAUUGAUAAGGAAUGAUUUGAAUGUAAUUUUUUCGAAUGUGUGGAAAAUAUGAAGCAGGGAUUUAUCCUUAAUGAAGGUAGCCACUGACAUUUGUUGUUGAUCUCCCUUUGUACUGUCUUGUUUCUGCACUCGUCAUUUUGAGAUAUUAUACUGCACAAUGUAUUAUAAAAAUAAAAAGU